rnacentral:rRNA from 1 species
GACGUAGGGCGCGAGCGUUGUCCGGAUUUAUUGGGCGUAAAGAGCUCGUAGGCGGCUUGUCACGUCGGAUGUGAAAGCCCGAGGCUUAACCUCGGGUCUGCAUUCGAUACGGGCUAGCUAGAGUGUGGUAGGGGAGAUCGGAAUUCCUGGUGUAGCGGUGAAAUGCGCAGAUAUCAGGAGGAACACCGGUGGCGAAGGCGGAUCUCUGGGCCAUUACUGACGCUGAGGAGCGAAAGCGUGGGGAGCGAACAGG